ensembl:snRNA U2 U2 spliceosomal RNA
AUCCCUUCUUGGCCUUUUGGCUAAGAUGAAGUGUAACAUCUGUUCUUAUCCGUUGUAUACUUAUAGCUGAUUCACGUGGUCAUACAGCAGACACCAAGACAACACUGUAAAGCAAUUUUACUCCAAUUAAAAAAUGUUUAGGAAAGUCAUGGAUCAGCCUUGGGGUGCGAGAGGGAGCAGUGGGGUCCAGCCUUA